rnacentral:rRNA from 1 species
UGGGGAAUAUUGCACAAUGGGCGCAAGCCUGAUGCAGCUAUGCCGCGUGUAUGAAGAAGGCCUUCGGGUUGUAAAGUACUUUCAGCGGGGAGGAAGGUGUUGAGGUUAAUAACCUCAGCAAUUGACGUUACCCGCAGAAGAAGCACCGGCUAACUCCGUGCCAGCAGCCGCGGUAAUACGGAGGGUGCAAGCGUUAAUCGGAAUUACUGGGCGUAAAGCGCACGCAGGCGGUCUGUCAAGUCGGAUGUGAAAUCCCCGGGCUCAACCUGGGAACUGCAUUCGAAACUGGCAGGCUAGAGUCUUGUAGAGGGGGGUAGAAUUCCAGGUGUAGCGGUGAAAUGCGUAGAGAUCUGGAGGAAUACCGGUGGCGAAGGCGGCCCCCUGGACAAAGACUGACGCUCAGGUGCGAAAGCGUGGGGAGCAAACA